UACGUAGGUGGCAAGCGUUGUCCGGAUUUACUGGGCGUAAAGAGCGCGCAGGCGGUCGUUCAAGUCGCGUGUGAAAGCCCCCGGCUCAACUGGGGAGGGUCACGCGAUACUGAUCGACUCGAAGGCAGGAGAGGGUAGUGGAAUUCCCGGUGUAGUGGUGAAAUGCGUAGAGAUCGGGAGGAACACCCGUGGCGAAGGCGGCUCACUGGGCCGGUCCUGACGCUGAGACGCGAAGGCGUGGGGAGCGAACGGG
rnacentral:rRNA from 1 species